rnacentral:rRNA from 1 species
UACGUAGGGGGCAAGCGUUGUCCGGAUUUACUGGGCGUAAAGCGCGUGUAGGCGGCUACGCAGGUCCGUUGUGAAAACUGGAGGCUCAACCUCCAGACGUCGACGGAAACCGUGUGGCUAGAGUCCGGAAGAGGAGAAUGGAAUUCCCGGUGUAGCGGUGAAAUGCGCAGAUAUCGGGAAGAACACCCGUGGCGAAGGCGGUUCUCUGGGACGGUACCGACGCUGAGACGCGAAAGCGUGGGGAGCGAACAGG